CCUACGGGAGGCAGCAGUGAGGAAUAUUGGUCAAUGGACGAGAGUCUGAACCAGCCACGUAGCGUGAAGGAUGACUGCCCUAUGGGUUGUAAACUUCUUUUAUAUGGGAAUAAAAUGUUCCACGUGUGGGAUUUUGUAUGUACCAUAUGAAUAAGGAUCGGCUAACUCCGUGCCAGCAGCCGCGGUAAUACGGAGGAUCCGAGCGUUAUCCGGAUUUAGUGGGUUUAAAGGGAGCGUAGGUGGAUUGUUAAGUCAGUUGUGAAAGUUUGCGGCUCAAACGUAAAAUUGCAGUUGAAACUGGCAGUCUUGAGUACAGUAGAGGUGGGCGGAAUUCGUGGUGUAGCGGUGAAAUGCUUAGAUAUCACGAAGAACUCCGAUUGCGAAGGCAGCUCACUGGACUGCAACUGACACUGAGGCUCGAAAGUGUGGGUAUCAAACAGGAUUAGAUACCCGAGUAGUC
rnacentral:rRNA from 1 species